CGGCACUGCAGGACCCAGUCCCGCGGCCGGCUCGCGGGAGGCGGGGCCACGUCGACCCCUGGCGGACUCGCGGCCGCUCCUUCCCACCCUUCCCACCAUCCGGGCCACUGCGCUCCCCUCUCCUUUUCUCUGGAGGGAAGGGCGGAUUGGACAGCCCCUCCUGGAGGGGUCCCUGCUCUGCCAAGCUGGGCUGGCACCGACUGGCGGGGGUGGCUCUCGAAGGACGGAGGCCUUAGCCAGACCUCUCCACCUCCCUGCCGGUUCCUCGUCCUACAACCCCGUGUCCCUGCCGGUGCCCACCUCCAGAGCGCCCGUCUGUCAGUCACCACAUUCUCCAGACUACACCCCUCCCCCGCCCACACACCCUUCUUGGAAUAAACUUAACAACCAGAGGAACUAACCCAAGCUCUGUGGUUGUCCCUCCACUCACGUCCAACAGGCGUUUUCUUCUUUUCUGCUGAGGAAGUCACAUCCAUGGCUAUAGGAUCAUUUUCUUUAUUUUGCAAAACAGAAGAAAGGAGGAAGCUGAUAUGAAAUCAAGGAACAUGGAGAACACCACCUCUUGGCCAAGCCUGGAACAUGCUGCACCUAUAACCCAGCUCAAUGUGGAGACUUGCAGAGAAGCUCGGAGGCCGUUCUUACAUCCCAGCCAGAAUUAGCAUGAAGUGCUGUAGCGAUUCAUGCUGGUCACAGUCAAGGGUGUUUAUACAAGAUGUGGCACCAACAGAAGGAUGUAAGUAUUUGGCUCCAGACUGACCGUCCUGCUCUCAAGCCUGAAGUGUUUGCACAGGAAAAGAAACACUUCUGAAACCGUGCCCAGGGCCAGUGAAAAUUCCUUGUCUGUAGCCCACUCCUGCAGCCCUUAACCCUGAGGAACACCUAGCACCCUUCUUUGUCCCUGAGCCAGCCUGACAACCCUGUCUCCCUCCUCUCUGGAGCAGAGAUCCCAGAAACCUUGCCUGUGAAUUCACACUUCACUUACUUUUGUUUCUAUUGACACCUUCGUCCUUGUUCCUGUCUCUGGUAAUAUCAUCACUCUCUUUAGUUUCAAAACAUUUCAUUACUUCAGAAGCACACCCCAGUCCCUCCUCAAUCUCACUCACAUGCCAACCACCAAUUUGCUUUCUGACUCUAUGGGUUUGCCAUCCAGAAGUGGAUAUUUCACAUAAAAGGGACCAUACAAUAUUUCACCUUUUGUGUCUAGCUUCUUUCACUCAGUGUAAUGUUUUUAGGUUCUUCCAAAUUGUAGCACGUGUCAGUACUUUAUUACCUUCUAAGGCUGAAUACUACUCUAUUGUAUUGAUAUAUCACAUGCUGUUUAUCCAUUCAUCCAUCAACGGACAUUUGCGUUAUUUCUAUCUUUUGGCUAUUGUGAAUAAUGUUGCUAUGAACAUGUGUGUACAAAUCUCUUUUCAAUACCCUGCUCUCUCUCUCUC